rnacentral:rRNA from 1 species
GACGAACGCUGGCGGCGUGCUUAACACAUGCAAGUCGAGCGGUAAGGCUCCUUCGGGAGUACACGAGCGGCGAACGGGUGAGUAACACGUGAGCAAUCUGCCCUUCUCAUCGGAAUAAGCGUUGGAAACGACGUCUAAUGCCGAAUACGACCUCCUUUCGCAUGAUCGGAGGUGGAAAGCUCCGGCGGAGAAGGAUGAGCUCGCGGCCUAUCAGCUAGNGGUGUGGGUAAUGGCCCACCAAGGCGACGACGGGUAGCCGGCCUGAGAGGGUGACCGGCCACACUGGGACUGAGACACGGCCCAGACUCCUACGGGAGGCAGCAGUGGGGAAUAUUGGACAAUGGGCGAAAGCCUGAUCCAGCAACGCCGCGUGAGGGAUGACGG